rnacentral:rRNA from 1 species
AGCUCCAAUAGCGUAUAUUAAAGUUGCUGCAGUUAAAAAGCUCGUAGUUGGAUUUGUGGCGCGGUCGUCCGGCGGGGCUUCCGGUUUCAUAGUAUCCCGGGGCCGUUUGUCUGGGUUCUUGGCCGCCCCAUUCUUCGGUUGCGUGUCGCUGGCAUUAGGUUGUCGGCUUCUUCGCGCCGAUCGUUUACUGUGAAAAAAUUAGAGUGUUCAAAGCAGGCAGUAAGUGUGCCGGAAUACAUGAGCAUGGAAUAAUGGAACAGGACUACGGUCACUGCACUUUUCCGUUGGUUUCGGAGGGCCGAAGUAAUGAUUAAGAGGGACAGUUGGGGGCAUCCGUAUUUCGCAGUCAGAGGUGAAAUUCUUGGAUCUGCGAAAGACGAACGAGUGCGAAAGCAUUUGC